UACGAAGGGGGCUAGCGUUGCUCGGAAUCACUGGGCGUAAAGCGCACGUAGGCGGAUUGCUAAGUCAGGGGUGAAAUCCUGGAGCUCAACUCCAGAACUGCCUUUGAUACUGAGGAUCUCGAGUCCGGGAGAGGUGAGUGGAACUCCGAGUGUAGAGGUGAAAUUCGUAGAUAUUCGGAAGAACACCAGUGGCGAAGGCGGCUCACUGGCCCGGUACUGACGCUGAGGUGCGAAAGCGUGGGGAGCAAACAGG
rnacentral:rRNA from 1 species